rnacentral:sRNA from 1 species
AUGUCAAAAGCUUAGGGUGGCGCAGUAUUCUAGUCGAUCCCCCUCUCCUGAAGGCGGGCCUAAAAAUCCGUCAAAGGGCACAUCGAUGAAGUUCCUGGUGUUGGCUUGAGGCGCCCAGCCUUGGGUUGAUACUGGGAGUUAAGGUUGUAGGGCGAUCCGCAAUGGCAUGCGGGCGUAGACCCUACUUCCGCGGAGGCCCAUGAUUUGUGGUUUGACGUCCUCGUGCGGAUGGCUACAACAUGGGGUAUGAACCUGCAUGGCGAGUGAGAUGCGAAUAAAGAACGACACCGACACUUGUGUGCAGCGUAGCCUGCCUUGAGUGAUCUGGAGGGAUUGCAGGGUUCAGGAGAAUGGUUUCGGCCAAAACGAUUCUCCGGUGCUGCAUGAAAUCCAUGUUGCAAAAGAGGCUAGGGAGAUGUGAGGGGUUGCCGAGGAAAACUCCUAGACUGUCGCGAAUUGCGUGGCUUCUCGGGGAUUAUAGUGUGGACUAAGUGGUAAUCGAGUCCGGUGCAUGGCAACAUCACCGAGACGGACAUAAAGGGAAACCGCCGUCAUGGCGACGUGACGGUGUCUGUCUGGGAAAACCUACUCGACCUAAGCCACAGAGUUUACUCGAGAAGUUGCCACCCUCUACAUACUAUUU